rnacentral:rRNA from 1 species
GACGAACGCUGGCGGCGUGCUUAACACAUGCAAGUCGAACGGAAAGGCCUGCUUUCCCUUGUGGAUUGCGGGUACUCGAGUGGCGAACGGGUGAGUAACACGCGAGUGAUCUGCCCCCAACUUGGGUAUAAGCCUGGGAAACUGGGUCUAAUUCCCGAUAGGACUGCAGGGUGGUGCCUGUGGUGGAAAACGAUUUUCUAGUGGUUGGUGAUGAGCUCGCGGCCUAUCAGCUUGGUGGUGGGGUAAUGGCCUACCAAGGCGGCGACGGGUAGCCGGCCUGGGAGGGUGGACGGCGACAUUGGGACUGGGUUACGGCCCAGACUCCUACGGGAGGCAGCAGUGGGGAAUAGUGCACAAUGGGCGGAAGCCUGAUGCAGCGACGCCGCGUGGGGGAUGACGGCCUUCGGGUUGUAAACUCCUUUCGACCGCGAGGAAGCCACCUGGUUGGAAGGGUGGUGACGGUAGUGGUAGAAGAAGCCCCGGCUAACUACGUG